GGAGAGAUGGCUGAGUGGACUAAAGCGUCGGAUUGCUAAUUGCUAUGUAGACUUCUGUUUACCGAGGGUUCGAAUCCCUCUCUUUCCU
rnacentral:tRNA from 1 species